GGAGAGGUGGCCGAGUGGCUGAAGGCGCUCGCCUGCUAAGCGAGUAAGGGUUAACCGCCCUUCGUGGGUUCGAAUCCCAUCCUCUCCGCCA
rnacentral:tRNA from 1 species